CCUCUGUGAUGCCGUUGGCUUUUUCUCACAUGUUUGACCAUUCGUCUUAUUAAAAAAAUUUACGUAAUUAUAAUUUAUUUUGUUAUGAGUUGUUUUAUCACUCAUAGUACUUGAUUUAUAACUUAUAUAUUUGCAUAAAUUUUUUGAAUAAGACGAAUGGUCAAAGAUAUAAGAAAAAAUCAACGGUGUCAUCGGGA
rfam:Oryza nivara chromosome 6, whole genome shotgun sequence.